rnacentral:rRNA from 1 species
UGGGGAAUAUUGCACAAUGGGCGAAAGCCUGAUGCAGCGACGCCGCGUGAGGGAUGACGGCCUUCGGGUUGUAAACCUCUUUCAGUAGGGACGAAGCGCAAGUGACGGUACCUGCAGAAGAAGCACCGGCUAACUACGUGCCAGCAGCCGCGGUAAUACGUAGGGUGCGAGCGUUGUCCGGAAUUACUGGGCGUAAAGAGCUCGUAGGCGGUUUGUUACGUCGUCUGUGAAAUCCUAGGGCUUAACCCUGGACGUGCAGGCGAUACGGGCUGACUUGAGUACUACAGGGGAGACUGGAAUUUCUGGUGUAGCGGUGGAAUGCACAGAUAUCAGGAAGAACACCGAUGGCGAAGGCAGGUCUCUGGGUAGUAACUGACGCUGAGGAGCGAAAGCAUGGGUAGCGAACAGG